GCAUGAAACUCAGGAAUCACUUCCUGUCUCUGAGAGAUGCUGGGUCCAGAUGUGGGGCUGACUUGCCAACUCAAAUUACCUCAAGAAGUCUCCACUAAAGGAUCCGAAGGCUCAGAAUAUGAUUUCAAUCAAGGAAACAGAGCCCUUCAACACCGAGGCAAGGACAGGUGGCCUUUGACAAACACAGAGACUUGCAGAAGGAACCAUAUUGAAGGUGUUUUGAUUGCUGCAACCUGGAACUGCUGACCCAAGGAACUGUGCUUGGAAAUCCGGAAAGGGGACAUGGUGCUUCCAGCCCACGCAUCACCAGAACCUUCUGGCACGCAGAGUAGCUGGGUCGGGAUUAAGGCAGUGGACUCCUUUAACAAGCCAGGUCUAAUUGUGUCUCUGCAGAUGUUUAAUGGAAGCCAGAAUCCCAGACAGGCAGCUUCAAGAACAAUGCUGGACAGGUUCUCAUGUGGGAACCAGAGACACAAAAGUGGUGGUAGUUAAUCAAGUCCCUGGUUCUUGGGAAGCGACAACACAAAGAGCUGCAGCAUCUGAUCAUUACCCUGGAGCUCAGACACAAGACGCAGUCCUGUCUGAGCCCUCAUAACACUGCUCACGUUAGCGACUCCCCUCCAGCACCAGGCUUCCUCCUGGAGAGAGGAAGCGUGCCUUCUGGCAUCCCUCAGGACUCCAGAGUCUACCCUAGAGUCGAGUCCCAGGGAAGAGAGUUGAUUGGCUCUCAGCGAAUCGCAUGCCCAACUCUGUACUAGGCACUGGAACCGGAGGGAGAUAAGACACAAUGAUUGGCUUUCCCCCGGGUCACGUGAUCACUCUAUCUCGGGGCGUUUCAGCAGAAAGCAUGGAGAAGACUGUUCUUCACAGGUCAUGGAAGCUUGAGUCCCUUGACCAUCUUUCCCACAUCAGGUCCCGCAAAAGUCCUUGAACUAGAUGCAUCCAGCAAGCACUCUAUAAUUGCUGAGAGACAAACUGCUGCUCCCUCCCAACCCAAUAGCACCUUCUCUUUGACAUCUCAGGCCCGAGUGGAUGGAAAGGUAGACUCGUGAUUUGGAAUGAGUUCCUUUUCUCAGUAGGGCCCCACCCCAGGCAGUUUCUCCUAGUUCUGUGAACUAGAAAAGGUG
rnacentral:lncRNA from 1 species